CUCCUGAGAAGGAGCCUCCACACCCUCCCUGGGCAGCCUGGGCCAGGGCUCCCUCCCCUCAGCACCAAAGCACUUGCACCUCCUGGGCCAGGGGCACUUGCUGUGUCCCAGCCUCUGCCCCUUCCCCCUUGUCCUGCCACUGGCCACCACACACCCAAGUGGCACCUCCUGAGCCUUUCAGCACCUUGCAGGAGCCUUUAGGUGCUUGUGAGUGUUGCUGAGGUGCCCCUGAGCUCAGGCUUCUGUUCCCCAGGCUGAGCAGCCCCAGGGCUGCAGCCUUUCCUCAUAAGAAACUUGCUCCACUCCCUUGAUGGUCUGAUCACCUUGAUCAUCAAUAAGCCCUUAGAAGGAGGAAUGUGUGAGGCCUGAUGCCCUUCAGGUGGUGCAAAUUACAGUGGGCUGUGUGGCUGUUGGGGCUGUUGGGGCUGUUGGGUCUGUUGGGGCUGUUGGGUCUGUUUGGGCUGUUGGGUCUGUUGGAGCUGUUGGAUCUGUUGGAGCUGUUGGGGCUGUUGGGGCUGUUGGGUCUAUUGGAGCUGUUGGAGCUGUUGGAUCUGUUGGAGCUGUUGGAUCUGUUGGGGCUGUUGGAUUCUCCCUCUGAAUGCACCAGCACUGUGCAAGCUGUUUCUCUUUGCCCUCUUCUUGCAGGACCAGUCAGGCUUUGGGUUCUCCUUGUGCUUUCCUAUCAGCUGUUUGGCAGUUUGGUAACUUCAGGGUAACACUAAGAAAGGACUGCUGUGUCUCAUGUGUGCAAUGGAAGAAGCCACAUCUGGGUGUACAAAUGGCACAGCUUCCAAGGGGAAUCUGCCUGCCCAAGUCUCUGCAGCUGGCAUCAGAUCAUUCCUUCAAUUGUUCAGAGUGACCCUGAGCAUUAAUCCUCCUGUGCUCCUGUGCUGUGGAUUUAAUAAACACUCCCUUUACUCUGCCACCAGGCUGCCAUGAGGUCCAGGCUGCUCUCUCAGAUCC